GGUGGGAUUGUGCCCAUGACAGGGUCAGUGAUGCGUGGCUGUGGAAGGAAUGGGUUUGAUUAACCUUUUCUCUUUUCCAUACUUUCUUCGCUCUUCCUCUGGUCAGAUCACUCCUCGAGAAGGACAUGAACUCCAGGUAUUCUUAUCCUUUCACAUCCAGGAAACAGAGUGUCUGAAAGCAUCUGGAUUGGAUGUGGCAAACUGUGCACUGAAAUCUAACUUAGCUGCUAGACACAACAGCUGUAGGAAAGAAAGGUAACUGCCGGAAAAGAGGACGACGUGGAGACAGAUUGCCAAAAAAGAUGAAAAGAAGAAGCCACCAUGGCAGGCGGAGACAUUAACAUCCUCCCACUCACACUCUGACCUCUCCGUCCAUGGUCUCCUACACUGUUCCAAUGAAGCACA